rnacentral:tRNA from 1 species
GCGGGAGUAGCUCAAUCGGUAGAGCGUCAGCUUCCCACGCUGAAGGUCGCGGGUUCGAUUCCCGUUUCCCGCU